UUGUACGACAUGGCAACCGAAAUGUUUUGUCCUUGGAUACGUUCACAUUUAAACGACGUAUCCGGGGACCAAACAUUUCUGUUGCCAUGUCGUACAAUUC
rnacentral:pre_miRNA from 1 species